CUACUAAUUAGUAAGGAACUGCCCUCACCUGGUUGUCUAGGCUACUAAUUAGUAAGGAACUGCCCUCACCUGGUUGUCUAGGCUACUAAUUAGUAAGGAACUGCCCUCACCUGGUUGUCUAGGCUACUAAUAGUAAGGAACUGCCCUCACCUGGUUGUCUAGGCUACUAAUUAGUAAGGAACUGCCCUCACCUGGUUGUCUAGGUUACUAAUUAGUAAGGAACUGCCCUCACCUGGUUGUCUAGGCUACUAAUUAGUAAGGAACUCCCCUCACCUGGUUGUCUAGGCUACUAAUUAGUAAAGAACUGCCAUCACCUGGUUGUCAAGGCUACUAAUUAGUAAGGAACUGCCCUCACCUGGUUGUCUAACUCUUUGAGAGGAAACACCAGACCUGACAUUAGACAGUCAUUCAUAAGGGAGGGAGGGAGAAACAUUUUAAGACUGUUGGGACUAGCUUUUAGCUAGUGAGUCAUGACGUCAUGAUACCCUCAGUGUUAGAGACAGCAUCUAUUGAGAGAACCCUGCUGAAAACUAGUGAGUCAUGACACCCUCAGUGUUAGAGACAGCAUCUAUUGAGAGAACCCUGCUGAAGACUAGUGAGUCAUGACACCCUCAGUGUUAGAGACAGCAUCUAUUGAGAGAACCCUGCUGAAGACUAGUGAGUCAUGACAUCAUGAUGCCCUCAGUGUUAGACAACAUCUAUUGAGAGAACCCUGCUGAAGACUAGUGAGUCAUGACAUCAUGUUUCCCUCAGUGUUAGACAGCAUCUAUUGAGAGAACCCUGCUGAAGACUAGUGAGUCAUGACGUCAUGAUGCCCUCAGUGUUAGAGACAGCAUCUAUUGAGAGAACCCUGCUGAAGACUAGUGAGUCAUGACAUCAUGAUGCCCUCAGUGUUAGACAACAUCUAUUGAGAGAACCCUGCUGAAGACUAGUGAGUCAUGACAUCAUGAUGCCCUCAGUGUUAGAGACAGCAUCUAUUGAGAGAACCCUGCUGAAGACUAGUGAGUCAUGACAUCAUGAUGCCCUCAGUGUUAGAGACAGCAUCUAUUGAGAGAACCCUGCUGAAGACUAGUGAGUCAUGACAUCAUGAUGCCCUCAGUGUUAGACAGCAUCUAUUGAGAGAACCCUGCUGAAGACUAGUGAGUCAUGACAUCAUGAUGCCCUCAGUGUUAGAGACAGCAUCUAUUGAGAGAACCCUGCUGAAGACUAGUGAGUCAUGACAUCAUGAUGCCCUCAGUGUUAGAGACAGCAUCUAUUGAGAGAACCCUGCUGAAGACUAGUGAGUCAUGACAUCAUGAUGCCCUCAGUGUUAGACAGCAUCUAUUGAGAGAACCCUGCUGAAGACUAGUGAGUCAUGACGUCAUGAUGCCCUCAGUGUUAGACAGCAUCUAUUGAGAGAACCCUGCUGAAGACUAGUGAGUCAUGACGUCAUGAUGCCCUCAGUGUUAGAGACAGCAUCUAUUGAGAGAACCCUGCUGAAGACUAGUGAGUCAUGACAUCAUGAUGCCCUCAGUGUUCGAGACAGCAUCUAUUGAGAGAACCCUGCUGAAGACUUGAACUCAGGCUAAGAUGCUAUUUAUGAAACGAAAUGUCGUGUAUAUAGAAAUGCAUUCCUCAAUGGUGUUAUUAUUGUUAAAGCUUUAUUUAACUUGGCAAGUCAGUUAAGAACAAAUUCUUAUUUACAAAGACGGCCUACAGGGGCAGAACGACUGAUUUUAACCUUGUUCAGCUCGGGGAUUCGAUCCAUCAACUUGCCCAUCUCUCUAACCACUAGGCUACCUGCCUCCCAAGCAGUAUGGUUGAUUCACUAUCAGGUUUUCAUUCUGAGUGUUAAAUUUAUUGAAUUGAUCUGAUGAGUAUUGUAGAUGUGUGGAAACAGGAGAGGCAGGGCUGUGGUCAGAGGAUGUUGCUGACAGACAGAAGGUUUUAGAUGUGUGGAAACAGGAGAGGCAGGGCUGUGGUCAGAGGAUGUUGCUGACAGACAGAAGGUUGUAGAUGUGUGGAAACAGGAGAGGCAGGGCUGUGGUCAGAGGAUGUUGCUGACAGACAGAAGGUUGUAGAUGUGGGGAAACAGGAGAGGCAGGGCUGUGGUCAGAGGAUGUUGCUGACAGACAGAAGGUUGUAGAUGUGUGGAAACAGGAGAGGCAGGGCUGUGGUCAGAGGAUGUUGCUGACAGACAGAAGGUUUUAGAUGUGGGGAAACAGGAGAGGCAGGGCUGUGGUCAGAGGAUGUUGCUGACAGGCAGAAGGUUGUAGAUGUGUGGAAACAGGAGAGGCAGGGCUGUGGUCAGAGGAUGUUGCUGACAGACAGAAGGUUGUAGACGUGUGGAAACAGGAGAGGCAGGGCUGUGGUCAGAGGAUGUUUCUGACAGACAGAAGGUUUUAGAUGUGGGGAAACAGGAGAGGCAGGGCUGUGGUCAGGAUGUUGCUGACAGACAGAAGGUUGUAGACGUGUGGAAACAGGAGAGGCAGGGCUGUGGUCAGAGGAUGUUGCUGACAGACAGAAGGUUGUAGAUGUGUGGAAACAGGAGAGGCAGGGCUGUGGUCAGAGGAUGUUGCUGACAGGCAGAAGGUUGUAGAUGUGUGGAAACAGGAGAGGCAGGGCUGUGGUCAGAGGAUGUUGCUGACAGGCAGAAGGCUGUAGAUGUGUGGAAACAGGAGAGGCAGGGCUGUGGUCAGAGGAUGUUGCUGACAGACAGAAGGUUGUAGACGUGUGGAAACAGGAGAGGCAGGGCUGUGGUCAGAGGAUGUUGCUGACAGACAGAAGGUUUUUAGUUGAGAGGUAAAAGGUUCCCUACAUAUUCAAGGUGUUUCUGUUCUGUUUGAAUCUGGAUUCUUUGCAGAGGGGAAGUGACCCGAAGAUGUUGCUGUAUCGUUCGUUUGCACUGGGAGGAGGCAGAAAGGCAGCGCUUCUGCUGUCCAGUGAGAUUCGAGCAGAAAUCAUCUGAUACCCAAUGAUAUUAGAUCUAUAUUUGUGUGGAAUACUUCAGGAAGGACCCCUGGACUUUGUCCACAUUUUGUUGUGUUACAGCCUGAAUUUAAAAUGGAUUAAAUUCAUUGUGUUUGACACUGUCCAACACACAAUAUUCCAAAGCAUGCAUCUUGUUUGCAACAAGGCACUAAAGUAACACUGCAAAAAUGUGGCAAAGAAAUUAACUUUUUGUCCUGAAUACAAAGUGUUACGUUUGGGGCAAAUCCAAUACAACACAUUACUGAGUACCACUCUCCAUAUUUUCAAGCAUAGUGGUGGCUGCAUCAUGUUAUGGGUAUGCUUGUAAUUGUUAAGGACUGGGGAGUUUUUCAGGAUAAAAAAAUAAACAGACUGGAGCUAAACACAGGAAGAAUUCUAGAGGAAAACCUGGUUCAGUCUGCUUUCCACCAGACACUGGGAGAGGAGUUCACCUUUCAUCAGGACAAUAAACCUAAAACACAAGGCCAAAAUCUACACUGGAGUUGCUUACCAAGAAGACCGUGAAUGUUCCUGAGUGGCCGAGUUACUGCUGACCUAAAUCUACUUCACAAUCUAUGUCAAGACCUGAAAAUAGUUGAGUAGCAAUGAUCAACAACCAAUUUGACAGAGCUUGAAGAAUUUUGAAAAGAAUAAAUGGGCAAAUGUUGCACAAUCCAGGUGUGGAAAGCUCUUAAGAGAUUUACCCAGAAAGCCUAGCAGCUUUAAUCACUGCCAAAGGUGCUUAUACAAAGUAUUGACCAUUAAGGUUUUCACUUUGUCAUUAAGGGGUAUUGUGUGUAGAUGGGUGAGAAUUAUUCACGCUCUGGCAAAUUGGUUGUUGAUCAUUGCUAGACAGCCAUUUUUUUUUAUUAUAGGUCUUUCCAUAGAUGUUCAAGUAGAUGUAAGUCUAAACUAAACUAUCUAGUCAGGAACAUCCACUGUCUUGGUCGCAACUCUAGUGUAGAUUUGAUCUUGUGUUUAAGGUGUGAAUACAUGAGAUAUUUCAGCUCAUUUCUUUUUCAACACGUUUGCUAAAAUUUCUAAACACAUUUUCACUUUGUCAUUAUGGAGUUUUGUGUGUAGAUGGGUGAGAUAAAAAAAUAUAUAAAUUGAAUCCAUUUUGAUUUCAGGGUCAAAGGUUAUGACUACUGUACUUUCUGAAGGCACUGUAUCGAUGAAGAACCUGAAAACAUUUCACUUUUAAGAAAACAAAAGUAAAGUAUAAAUAAAGUAUAUUAAGUAUAAAUAAGAAUGUUUUUUUGGGGGGGUUCACGGUUGUUGUUGUUGACCAUUUUCACUUUGUAAAGAUUUUUCUAAAUUCCUUCAUGUCAGAGAACAAAAUUAAAGAUGAGUUAAAUCUA